GUGCUGGGUGUCAGCAGAGGUGGAAGACGGGCUCCUGCUGUGUGAACAUGGCUGGAGCGCUUGAUGUCCCAUGGUGCAGUCCUCAGCCAGUGAUAAUUCUUGUCUGAGACAUGCAAUGAAGAAAGGCAUGAACUCAAGUGAGACGGGCCAAAUGUUGCUACAGUCACAGGAAAAUCUGGAAGCAUCUCCCUGAACAGGGCGAUGUACAGGAGGAGAGGAUGAAAAAUAGGGAAAAAUCUGAAGAUCCAGGUGUAAAGAAU